GUGGGGAAUAUUGCACAAUGGGCGAAAGCCUGAUGCAGCGACGCCGCGUGAGGGAUGACGGCCUUCGGGUUGUAAACCUCUUUCAGCUCCGAAGAAGCGCAAGUGACGGUAGGAGCAGAAGAAGCACCGGCUAACUACGUGCCAGCAGCCGCGGUAAUACGUAGGGUGCAAGCGUUGUCCGGAAUUAUUGGGCGUAAAGAGCUCGUAGGCGGUGUGUCGCGUCUGCUGUGAAAACUCAGGGCUCAACUCUGAGCUUGCAGUGGGUACGGGCACACUUGAGUGCUGUAGGGGAGACUGGAAUUCCUGGUGUAGCGGUGAAAUGCGCAGAUAUCAGGAGGAACACCGGUGGCGAAGGCGGGUCUCUGGGCAGUUACUGACGCUGAGGAGCGAAAGCAUGGGGAGCGAACAGGAUUAGAAACCCCGGUAGUCC
rnacentral:rRNA from 1 species